rnacentral:misc_RNA from 1 species
GUAGGUGAACCUGCGGAAGGAUCAUUAAAAUAUCUACGCCCAAGUGAGGUAUGAAAAUACUUUGCUUGGUGCCGUAUAUAUCCACCUGUUUACCUUUACCUGUUUCUUCCGUGGAGCAUAGGUGCCCUAGCGUUCUGCCGGGGUUAUCUUCCACGGGUGCAUCUUAACGUUUGUCAUUGCUGGAAUUUGUCUGAAUAAAAAUUAAAAGUUAAAACUUUCAACAACGGAUCUCUAGGUUCUC